AUUGAACGCUGGCGGCAUGCCUUACACAUGCAAGUCGAACGAGUGGCGAACGGGUGAGUAACGCCUCGGAACCUGCCUAGUGAUGGGGGAUAACUGCCCGAAAGGACAGCUAAUACCGCAUACUAUCCGAUCUGCCGCUGUCGGAUUAGCUGGUUGGGGGGGUAAAGGCCCACCAAGGCGACGAUCAGUAGCGGGUCUGAGAGGAUGAUCCGCCACACUGGGACUGAGACACGGCCCAGACUCCUACGGGAGGCAGCAGUGGGGAAUUUUGGACAAUGGGCGCAAGCCUGAUCCAGCCAUGCCGCGUGUCUGAAGAAGGCCUUCGGGUUGUAAAGGACUUUUGUCAGGGAAGCGGUACCUGAAGAAUAAGCACCGGCUAACUACGUGCCAGCAGCCGCGGUAAUUC
rnacentral:rRNA from 1 species